UACGGAGGGUGCAAGCGUUGUCCGGAAUCACUGGGUGUAAAGGGUGUGUAGGCGGGACUGUAAGUCAGAGGUGAAAGCCCACGGCUCAACCGUGGAAUUGCCUUUGAUACUGCAGUUCUUGAAUCCUGGAGAGGUCACUAGAAUUCGUGGUGUAGCGGUGAAAUGCGUAGAUAUCACGAGGAAUACCAGAGGCGUAGGCGGGUGACUGGACAGGUAUUGACGCUGAGGCACGAAAGCGUGGGGAGCAAACAGGAUUAGAAACCCCAGUAGUCC
rnacentral:rRNA from 1 species